AUAUAUUUAUCUCUUUUGUAGAGUGUGCCAAGAACAGUGUCUGACAUACAAAGCAAGCCCUUAAACAAUCCACUGGCUUGUUAUCUGGCAUUCUUUGCAUCACUUCUUUGGAACUGGGACUCAGGAAACUCGUACAAUAAUGUGGACAUUCCAGCCAUUACUAUUGCUCUGCAAGAGGAUGAAAAAGAUAAUGUUUUAUGAAAAUUUGAACAAAAGCAAGUUUUCAAAGCCAUUUAUGUAUACAGUUUAUAUAUACCUAUACAGAACUUUUUAAAGACUUAUUCACCUAAAAGAUGUUUCCUCUACCUGGAACAGCUUUCUCUACCUUCAGUCAAUUGCCUUCCAACUCUUAUCCCUGUUUGGGGAUUUCAGACAAAAUGUCACCUUACCUAGGCUAUCUUAGCCUUCUUUGUGUGCUUCUAGAGUCCACAGUGCCUGAUCCUAUCACAGCAUUUAUCAUAAGAUGCUACAAUUGUGACUUCUUUUGCUUUUUUUUCCUAUUAGACUGUAAUACCUUGAAGAGAAUAGUCUUGCACACUGUUUAGAUACACAGUAUGUAUUUUUGAAUUGAUUACUCUGUAAUUUAAUAAAAUCAUGCUGCUAUGUGCUACUGUGGAUUGAAGCAGUAAAAGGCCCUUGAACAGUAAAAGUGCAUUGGUGGAAAAACUGAUAAUGUCUGAAUAAAGUCUGUAGUUUAGUUAAUAGUGAUGUGCCACUAUUAUUUUCUUAAUUUUGACAAAUAUAACAGUUAUGUAAGAUGUUAAUGUUAGGGAAAACUGCAUGACAAGUACAAGAACUCUGUACUAAAAUUAUUCCAAAAUAAAAAGUUUAUUUAAAAAUUAUUAUGGGAAAUUAUUUAUUAUUAUUAUUAUAUUGUCAGAUGACAUCCACAAAAUUCUGCAAUCUGAAUGGUCCUGGGCCUCACCUGCUUAAGGUAGUAAUGAAAUAUGUCGCUAAUUUCUCACCCCAUCUCUGUUAUAAAGACCACUCUUUUCCCACUAAAUCUAGCUGGUUGUAUCUGGAAAUACUCAGGGGUGAUGUACAAGUGAUCACACACAGUCUUGCUUUAUGUUAUUCCAUUCUGGCAGCUUCGUAAACUGCUGCUCUCAAACUUUUGGAAGGAGUCCCGUUGCUCUACCAGCACUGCCGAUGCAGCUUCUGUGAGAAGACCAGUUCUCUGAGAGCCCGUGGAUCAUUGCCGCUGAACUCUGCACAGAAUUCAGAGUGCUCCUCUUACUCCCUGCUGUUCUUUGUCACCCUGCCAUAAAAUUUGUCCCGUCAGCUUUACCCUUUGCCCUUUCUUCUCCAUAGGGUGUCAGAUCUGUUCCUGUAGUCUAAGUAGUAAACUCAUACCAUUCUGUUUUCCUGAUUUAAUUUGGGAUACUCUUGACCUUCCUUCAGCCAAGAAAUAAUAGGCUCUAAGCCUUCAACUUGUCGUGAAAUGGGCAUGGGUUCUGCUUGAUACGCUCAGCUGGGCUACUCUGCCUGCUAUGGGUUAACUUAUGGAUCUAAGGUUAAUAGGACAGUCAUAGGGGAUGCCAAAUUUAGACUUGACUAUGACCUAGUCUUCAGACUGGACUCAGUCCACUUGGUCAUCCUGACUGGGAAAAUUAAUGACCAGUGGCAACCCUGUAAUACAGUGUCUAUCUGCUUGUCCGUAUUGUCAGAGGUGAAAAGACCUCCUGGUCCAUUUUAGGAACUCUAUUCAAAAAGAAAUUCUAUCCAGAAGAUGUUGUUUACAGUUAUUCUACAUAUUUUAAGGAGUUCCUGAAAACCACUGUCUGUCUUCUAUCCCUGAAAAUAAAGAUCGAUAGAUGUAAUUUUGGACGUAUACUUGGAAAGCUUGAAAUAGCUCUGAGGUGAGUAUGGGUCAUUUUCUACUUCCAUGCAUUUGACUGCUCUUGUCACCAUUCUGUCAGAGUUUCUGCUGAAAGCUGAGAGUCUUUUCAAGUUCUUUGCCCCGUAGACACAUAUGUGUUAGCCAACGAGGAUAGUGCCUGGUAGAAUCUUGGUUAAUUUCCAGAGUCAAGAAGUUGGUAAAUUUGGAUAUCUACAUGGAUGCAUCCAGUGGACAUAAGAAGUAAUUCUUCUUCUUAAACAAACUUCUUUAUACAUGACUUAGCACUCUGAAACUUAAUAUUUACCCUGGAUUCAUCCUACUGUUCUUUAUUCUUGAGUCAUAAUAACAUUGAUUUCUCUUAUCAAAAGAAUUUCCAUUUGGAAUAACGCCAGGGGAUUUAAUGAAUAUAAUUUGUUCUUAAUGCCUUUUCUA